ensembl:snoRNA
CAGACUGUUGUCAAUGAUGAAACAUAUAGUUAAACUGAAAUUAAUGAUUUGAUUCAGUUCCUUCGUCACUACCACUGAGACAACAGAUGG